rnacentral:rRNA from 1 species
UACGUAGGUGGCAAGCGUUGUCCGGAAUUAUUGGGCGUAAAGCGCUCGCCGGCUGGCCUUUAAGUCUGAUGUGAAAGCCCACGGCUCAACCGUGGAGGGUCAUUGGAAACUGGGGAACUUGAGUGCAGGAGAGAAGAGUGGAAUUCCACGUGUAGCGGUGAAAUGCGUAGAGAUGUGGAGGAACACCAGUGGCGAAGGCGACUCUUUGGCCUGUAACUGACACUGAGGCGCGAAAGCGUGGGGAGCAAGCAGG